rnacentral:lncRNA from 1 species
AACGAGGCGUGGAUAGCCACACAUGAUCAAAACAAAUCAAACAGAAACCAUGCACACCUCUUAAGGAAAGGAUGAAUUGGAAUGAGGUCUCACAUCUUUUGGAAAGCAAUGUCCAUAACCUCUGAUGUCAGCCAGAGCCGGGUAGACUCCCCAGGUUUCCACACCCCCUUACUUCCUGUCGGGUGAAUGCCAAUCCUUGCAACCAGCGCUGUGUGGAGAAAGAGGCAGCUGUCCUCGCAUAUUGCACCAUUCACAGACAAGCUUUUGUGAUGCUGUCAGUGUCCCUGGAGGGGACUCCUCUUCGACUUGGAUGUGUGGACCUAGAAGCUCAUGAGUUCACCCCUGGGAAAGAGCAAGUAUCUCUGCCACUGGACAGCUUUGGCUUUGUUCACUUUCACCUGGAGAAGUCAGCCAUGUAAGAAGAGCUCAGAAGUCAGUAUCUGGGAUUGGCCAGCACUGCGGGUUUUAACUAGCUGCAAGUGGACUUCCUCAGUGAUCCAGACAAGAUGUAGUGUCUGCAGGAAGCUGUCGGUUUAUCACGGGACACAGAAAACUGAUGCCGUGAUUAAGCUACACAGUACCAUGAGGAGCCUCAGCCUACAGUCCAUGAGAAUUGAGAGGAGGACUCUCUCAAGUGACCGGAGAACAAGGUUCCCUACCAGAAGAAGAGCCUUUUAAAUCCUGGAGGUUGAGCAUUUAGCAACGAAAAGAAGAGAAGGACCUGUAUACAACAGUCAGAAGUAUUUUCAUGCUUAACAGCAAAACCAGUCAAGUGAAAUAAAGCAUGCUGAACUUAAAAAUCUUUUUGUUUAUAUCAUAUGCCCGCUGCAAAUUCUUAAGUAGGAUAUUGUGUUAUUGCUAGAGUGCUAUACCUUGGAAUUUUAUAAAUGCUGGCUUUUGAGCAACUGCUACAAAUCUACUUAAUUUUUCUAUUUUCUAAGUAAUUGUGUAAGAGAGGAACAAGUAUAAAUAACUAACAAGAACUACUCUUUCCAAGGAAGGGGGCUAUUGAGGACAUAAAGAUUCAGAAGCCAAGUUAAGGUAAUAAUUCAUCAUGUGUCAGCACAAUGAUAAAUGGACACUUGUGUAACAGCAGGCACACAUUAAUAAACAAAGAAACUAUGCAUCUCCACUAAAAUUCAGCAUAAAAAAUACCUAAGAACUUUGGAAAGUAUGUAUAUGACAUACCAACUCUUGAUACAAUAAAUGAGAUCCAACUCCUAUGUAUUCAAGAUUCUGGAUGUGAAAUGAAGUUAUAUUGAGACUUCAUGUCUGUGACCGGACAGCAAUCUAAUGGCCGAAUCUCAUACUGUAGACAAAAAUUCUGUGGCUGUGCAUACACACCCC